GCAUAUCACACUCUGAAGAUUCAGUCUAGAGCAGAUUUUCUUGGCUGUGCCCCAGAGGACUUUUCUGGACUAACUUGGUACACAGAUGAGGAUCAGCAGACCAUGAGGAACCAAGAUAAAGAAAAGAUGCUGAGACAGCAAGAACCCUGCAGUGUGGGAGGUAUUUGAAACAUAUAUAACUAACAGAAGAUACAUAUAAAGAAUAUAUUAAAAAAUGACAAAGUUUUAAAAAUACAGACAACCUAAUAAAGAAGUAUGAAGAAGACUUGAAGGCACUCCACAAAAGAUAACUGUUCAAAUGAAAUAUUUGAAAACAUAUUUAACACAAUAACUAAUCAAGAAAUGGCCAGUAUUAAGAAGACUGAGGGGUGCCUGGUGCCUCAGUUGGUGUGACCAAGAAGGAUUUGAAGCCAAGCCCUCAAACUGGCUUCCUAAAUGAAGAGCGAGUUCCCACACCUGGAGGAACAAGUAUCCCUGUGGUCAGAGAUGAGCAGUGGAGAAAUCUGCUCAGGCUGCUCCAAGGGAACAAUUUUGACAAGAAACAUAAUUUAGA